GACAUACUGCCUGCACACUCCAUCAGAAUCUCAGCAGUCUCAUUGCUGAAGAUGACCAACACAGAUGCCAGAUGAAGAGUCACAGAGACAGACUUGCCGAGGGGAGCAAGCUGGCCAAGUACCUUGCCCUCAGACUUAGGCCAGAUAAUCUAGAUGAUGAGGAUGAGGAUGAUGAAAUGACCCUGGAUUCCAGUAGCAGCACUUUAUGUGCAGAGGAAGAAAAUGAACUUUGGCCAGAUUCACUAGAUGAAAACUAUUUGUUCCCUUCCUGUCA